rnacentral:tRNA from 1 species
GUAAAUAUAGUUUAAUACAAAACAUUAGUCUGUGGACCUAAAAAUAGAAG